rnacentral:rRNA from 1 species
AACGAACGUUGGCGGCGUGCCUAACACAUGCAAGUCGAGCGCGGGCAGGACUUCGGUCCUGUUCCGAGCGGCGCACGGGUGAGUAACACGUGAGUAACCUGCCUCGAAGUUUGGGAUAACCGCCCGAAAGGGUGGCUAAUACCGGAUAAGCCCCCACUGGCACAGGCCAGAGAGGGAAAAGCCUUGGCGCUUCGAGAUGGGCUCGCGUCCCAUUAGCUAGUUGGUGAGGUAACGGCUCACCAAGGCGAAGAUGGGUAGCUGGUCUGAGAGGAUGAUCAGCCACACUGGAACUGAGACACGGUCCAGACUCCUACGGGAGGCAGCAGUGGGGAAUCGUUGCGCAAUGGGCGAAAGCCUGACGCAGCGACGCCGCGUGGGUGAUGAAGGCCUCGG